AGUGAACGCUGGCGGUAGGCCUAACACAUGCAAGUCGAACGGCAGCACAGUAAGAGCUUGCUCUUACGGGUGGCGAGUGGCGGACGGGUGAGGAAUACAUCGGAAUCUACUUUUUCGUGGGGGAUAACGUAGGGAAACUUACGCUAAUACCGCAUACGACCUACGGGUGAAAGCAGGGGAUCUUCGGACCUUGCGCGAUUGAAUGAGCCGAUGUCGGAUUAGCUAGUUGGCGGGGUAAAGGCCCACCAAGGCGACGAUCCGUAGCUGGUCUGAGAGGAUGAUCAGCCACACUGGAACUGAGACACGGUCCAGACUCCUACGGGAGGCAGCAGUGGGGAAUAUUGGACAAUGGGCGCAAGCCUGAUCCAGCCAUACCGCGUGGGUGAAGAAGGCCUUCGGGUUGUAAAGCCCUUUUGUUGGGAAAGAAAAGCAGCGGGUUAAUAUCCCGCUGUUCUGACGGUACCCAAAGAAUAAGCACCGGCUAACUUCGUG
rnacentral:rRNA from 1 species